rnacentral:piRNA from 1 species
UUCUUGUUGUGUUUUAUAGUA